UGCCAGACUCCUACGGGAGGCAGCAGUGGGGAAUAUUGGGCAAUGGGCGCAAGCCUGACCCAGCAACGCCGCGUGAAGGAAGAAGGGUUUCGGCUCAUAAACUUCUCUCAACAGGGACGAAGGAAAUGACGGUACCUGAAUAAGAAGCCCCGGCUAACUACGUGCCAGCAGCCGCGGUAAUACGUAGGGGGCAAGCGUUAUCCGGAAUUACUGGGUGUAAAGGGUGAGUAGGCGGCAUGGUAAGCCAGAUGUGAAAGCCUUGGGCUUAACCCGAGGAUUGCAUUUGGAACUAUCAAGCUAGAGUACAGGAGAGGAAAGCGGAAUUCCUAGUGUAGCGGUGAAAUGCGUAGAUAUCAGGAGGAACACCGGUGGCGAAGGCGGCCUGCUGGACUGCGACUGACGUUGAGGCCCGAAAGCGUGGGGAGCAAACAGGAUUAGAUACCCUUGUA
rnacentral:rRNA from 1 species